rnacentral:rRNA from 1 species
UACGAAGGGAGCUAGCGUUGUUCGGAAUCACUGGGCGUAAAGCGCACGUAGGCGGAUGUGUCAGUCAGGGGUGAAAUCCCGGAGCUCAACUUCGGAACUGCCUUUGAUACAGCACGCCUUGAGUCCGGAAGAGGUGGGUGGAAUUCCUAGUGUAGAGGUGAAAUUCGUAGAGAUCGGCAGGAACACCCAGGGGGAAACCAGCCGACUGGGCAUCUACUGACGCUGAGG